UACGUAGGGUGCGAGCGUUGUCCGGAAUUAUUGGGCGUAAAGAGCUCGUAGGCGGUCUGUCGCGUCGGCUGUGAAAACUCGGGGCUCAACUCCGAGCCUGCAGUCGAUACGGGCAGACUAGAGUGCUGUAGGGGAGACUGGAAUUCCUGGUGUAGCGGUGAAAUGCGCAGAUAUCAGGAGGAACACCGGUGGCGAAGGCGGGUCUCUGGGCAGUAACUGACGCUGAGGAGCGAAAGCGUGGGGAGCGAACAGG
rnacentral:rRNA from 1 species